AGCUGUCCCCGGGCUGCCUGGGAGUCACUGGGGAGUCCUAGCCCGCCCUUGGGCCUAGGGCUCCCUGAUGCGGCCUCCACUCUUCGCAGGGCCAGGGGGCGAGGAAGGAGGAGGGAGGGAAGAGGGAAGCUGGGGAGUGGGAGAGCGUCCUCCACGACCGCUUGGGUCCUCCGCGGGGCAGCCUCGGGGAGGGUGGCUGCAGGGCCCGGAGUCGCCUGGAUCGCAGCGCCAUCUCGUGGCUGCUGGCAGGUCUGCCUUGGGCCCUCUUGGCACAAGGCAAGGAAACAGGAGCUCUUCCCAUCACCCAGGAGAAUGCUCCAGUGUCACCAGUGACUCCUGCUCCCACAUCUGCCUACAGGAAGCCCUCUUGGAACAAAAGCAUCUCACUUCUGGGAGGCAUCAAGUCAAGGGAGAAGCAGUGAUGUUUUAGUAUCCAGAAAGUGGAAAUAACCCAAAUGCCCAUCAACAGCAGAAUGAAAUUGUACUAUAUUCACACCAUGGAAUAUUGUAUAGCAAAGAGAAUGAAUGAACUAUUAACAGAAAAGACAUGGACAAAUCUCAUAAACAUGAUGCUGAAAGAAACCACAGUCAAAAAAGAAGAUGCUUCCCAACCUUUUGCAGACCAUGGCAUACGCAGAAAAUGACAACAUCGGAAUGGCACACUGGCAUACCAGUUGGGGAUCCUUGCAGUCAAUGCUGACUGGACUCAUCCUUCAGCCGCCCCCAAGAAGAGAGAGAUCAAUACCUUGGCACAUCUGUGGGAAAGCUCCCAUUAGAGAGUGUGGGGAAGACACAGGCCUCCACAACACAUUUCAGGUUCUCUAAACUGGCAAAGGGGAAGAGUCUGGGCUUCCUUUGCCCUUUUGUUCUCAAAGAGCCCAGCUGUGCACACCCCUCACCCCUGCACUAUAGCUCCCAUUUGGGUAGUGAAAAAUCACAGGACUCAGGGGAGUUAUGCAGCAUUCGGGAAUGGAGACCUGGAAAGCCACACACUCCUCCUUGCUUUCCUGUGAGCCUCUCUUCUUGCUGUCCCCUUUACAACCAACAGUCCCUGCAGGGGGAAGACACUCUGCUUUAGUCAGUUCCACCUCCCUUCCAGAUCUCAUCCUCCUUUCAGCCUAAUUUUCCUCACACUGUCAUGCUCCUUCCCACUGCUCGCCCCCCACCCCCUACUCUCCUCCAGCACAUCACACAUUGCGCCUGGGCACACUGAGCUUGUCUGCCAUCUAUGAAGAGGCCCAUGUCACCCAAGCCCUUCUCUUUCCCUGUCAUGCCAUAGCCUCUUCCAGGAGCGCUCAGCCUGCUGUUUCUGCUCAGACCUCCCCUCCUCUGCAAAGCCUCCUUCUGCGUGCUGCCCGAGAGCCAUCCCCCACUUGGGUUUGUGUUACUGCUGUGUAUGGCAGCAUCUUCACUGUGCCUGAUUUCCCGUCUUGGCCCAUCGUAGGUGCUCAACAAUUGUUUCUCAAAUGACCAGCGCCUGCAGAGGGACCCUGACAUGAACUCCACCCCACCCCGACUCUUGGCAGUUACUCACUGUCCCCUUGAGUCGGGAUCCCAGCCCCUCAGGGGACCUGUCUUGCAGCCAUUCCACGCUCUGUCACCCCACUGCCAGGAGACUAGAGCCACACUGCCUGGAUGACGCUCAUCUUUACCAGCUCGCAGCUCUGCCAGCUGCCUGCUCAGGGGUGGCCGCCAGCUGAGGGAUUGAGCUGAUUAUAGGUGAAUCAGCACCAGGCUGAUUGUGGUGUGAAAAAGGGGAAGGGUGACUGUGUCUUAGCCUCAAUCCUGGCUCCCCUCCUUCCAGCCCUGACCUGCAGUAACAGCACAGGGCCACCAGAGGCUCUAUUGGGCGACUCAUGCCCCGCGGAGAAAGGCCCAGUAGGAGAGCAUCUGACCCAGUUCCCAGCAGAUGAGAAAGGAAGAAGAGUUCAGGAGGCUUCUACUCUCAGAGGUCUCCAGCACUGAAACCCCGCAGCCGCACCUGGCUGCCUUAUCCUUGUGUUUUGCCCCUCAUGGGUCUAGAAGCUGUUGUGUUACACCUUAACAUCUUCCUCCUUGCUUGCCAUGAGCCCCUCUGCUUGCAGCCCCCUUUACAGAACAACAGUCAUGGUAGAGGGAAGAUGUCUCCACUUUUGUCAGUUCUGCCUCCUUUAGGAGAGUGUCAGGCCUAACCCAUGUGUGCUCUGUCUUUCAGGGCAUGGAAAAGACUAUUGUCCUGUUUCGUCUUUUCAACACCUCUUGACUCUCUCCCCCUGGUUUCCUAACAGCCAGCUAGGUUCAGGGCCUCCCAUCUCUGGCCAGGAUUAGUGCAAUGGCUUUCUGAAGGGUCCCAGGCUCCAGGGAGCCCCUUGCCCAUCAAGUCUCUACCCUGGAGCCAGACAGCCCUUACUUCCAUCAGACAUCAGCCUCCAGUGGCUCCGAAAGGCCAGGCAUCCACACAGCACCCCACGGCCCCAAGAACUGGCUGCUUGAUUUUCCUGCCCUGUGUCCCUCCUCUCCUUGGCCCUCUACCCAGCAAUCACCCCAAAACACUGUGAUGUUUCAAGCCUUUGUACUUUGCACACAUUCUUCUCCAUGGCCUAAUUCCCUCUCUCCACCCCUCACUCCACACCUCCUCCACCUUUACCCUUUCUCCCCAUUCUUUCUUCACCGGGCACAGCCCUACUUAUCCUUCAAAACUGCCACUUCCUCUGCGAAGCCUUUCCUGACCCGUGUCCCAGAAUCCCUCCUCUGAACAAAUCCUGUUCCCUAAACAUGCAUCUCUCAUUGUAUCUGUCACUCAAGGGUUGCAAUAAUUACACACACGCCUGUCCUUUGUCCUCCACUGGCUCUGUACCUCCAUGUGGGACCCAUGGCCAGCACACAUUGGUGGUGCCCGAAAGCUGUUGCACUGGAGUUGUUCCUUCUGCCCCAUCACCUCCCACCUUGAACAAGUCCUUUAGAUGACCUGAACUCCAGUUUGUUGAUCUGCAAAAUGGAGAGAUGUGAGAAUCAGAAGAGAACACGUAAUGAAAGGGUGUUAUAAACUGCUAAGGGCUGUACAAAUGUUUGUAUUGCAUUUUUGUCUUCCAGACUAGUGUUUACCUACACUUGCCUGUGUGGAAAUCAGAAGAUUAAAGGAAUGCGAUGUGA
rnacentral:lncRNA from 1 species